AGUGAACGCUGGCGGUAGGCCUAACACAUGCAAGUCGAACGGCAGCACAGUAAGAGCUUGCUCUUACGGGUGGCGAGUGGCGGACGGGUGAGGAAUACAUCGGAAUCUACUUUUUCGUGGGGGAUAACGUAGGGAAACUUACGCUAAUACCGCAUACGACCUACGGGUGAAAGCAGGGGAUCUUCGGACCUUGCGCGAUUGAAUUAGCCGAUGUCGGAUUAGCUAGUUGGCGGGGUAAAGGCCCACCAAGGCGACGAUCCGUAGCUGGUCUGAGAGGAUGAUCAGCCACACUGGAACUGAGACACGGUCCAGACUCCUACGGGAGGCAGCAGUAGGGAAUCUUGGACAAUGGGCGCAAGCCUGAUCCAGCCAUACCGCGUGGGUGAAGAAGGCCUUCGGGUUGUAAAGCCCUUUUGUUGGGAAAGAAAAGCAGCAGGUUAAUACCCCGCUGUUCUGACGGUACCCAAAGAAUAAGCACCGGCUAACUUCGUG
rnacentral:rRNA from 1 species